UUACAGUCCUGGCCUGGGGAGACCACACUGCACAAAGAAGCCAUAGCCUGUCCAGGGCUGCACAGAACCACCCUCAGGUAACACAGGCCCUUUGUAAGGAAGUCAAGUCCCUCCCAAGAUGGACUUUUCACAUCCCCCAACCUGGGAGCCUCGGGCCUGAAAGCCUAGCUGGAAUUUUCCCUCCAGCAGGAGGACAGGGGCUGAGACAAAGCAUCAAGAGCAGCAUGUGACGGGAACCAGGUGAAGUGGAGCAUGGAAAAUCCUUCCUGACCUAGGCUUCAUCUAAUAACCAGAGCAGACUGCAUAGCGCACGCACAGCAGACGUGGAGAGAGGACAGGCAGCCCCUGUGAAGAGCUGGCAAGUGUUCUGGAUACAGCAUGGCUGGCUGGUGGACAGGGAAUGAUCCAGAAAAUGUGCAUUUAAACAAUCCAACGCUCCCCUUCCUAUGAGCUGACAGUUGCGCAAAAUGGAGCAAACAACACUUCAUUCCACCCUUCCUUCUCAGGGGCUGAUAAGACGUGGACUGGCCAGGCAUGCCCGCAGCUACUCUCUCCAGUGAUGCUCUCUUCUCCAUUUUGGCAAGUAGACAUUUAAAACUCACCAUCACAAACUCCAAAGAUGGGGAGUAUAAAACAUGGUCCUCUAGAAACUUCAGAACUAUACAUAUACCUUCCAAUGACAAGAGAGAACCAUUCUUUCCAGGAGAGCCUGGGAGUCUGUGGUAAUAUAUUAUUUAUGAUUUAUUAAAGCUUGCCUGAAGAUCAGAAAAGCAAAGCAACAGGUCACUAGCUCUUCUCUACCUCAGAAUGAAAGGUGAUCCUGGCUCCACCAAACCUCAGACUGUAACCUUUCCUCAGUAUGGCUGGAGAAUCCAGAGACUUCAAUAUCUUCUGAACCUCGAUGUGGCUGGAGAAUGAAAGCCUGAUACUGACUACUGAACACCCUGCUCCUAUCCUUUAUACCCCUCUAGCGCUGGGAUUAAAGGCGUGUGAUCCCAGGUGCUGAGAUCAUCUUUAUAUGAGCUGUUUAUCUUUAGGACUGGUUCAAUCUUGUGUAGGUCUUGGUGGCCUUGGACUCACAGAGAUCUGUCUACCUCUUAAUUUUGAGUCCUAGGAUUCAAGGUGUGUACCACCACUGCUUGAUCUCUAUGCUUGAGGCUGACUUUGCUUUGUGAAUCCUCAGACAAGCUUUAAGGAAUCAUAAAUAAUAUAUCACUACGAGUGUCAUCAAAAUGUCUCUCCUUGCUCUUUGGUUUGGAGAUUUCGAGUUUUCUCCAUGGAACUGUGUGUAUUUCUUGAAUUCUCCAACCUUACCCCAUCUCACCACCUUGUCUACUAACAGUUCUAAGAGUCUGAUAAGUUGCAAAUAGGUAGAAUAGGGCAGUCAUCUCUAAGCAGUUACAAGAAGGGUUGGCUCAUAAAUAUACUACCUUUCAUGAGUUUCCCUGUUGUCCCCAGUGGAUCAGCAUCACUGGUCCAGACUUCUUUACAACAUACUAAAGAUCCCACAGAGUCAUGGUCCACCCCAUUGUGUGACAUGAUUCCGGGGGAGACAUGAACAAAUAUCUACUUACCCUAGGCAGAGAGUCAACAGACCAAAGUAUGUAUAUACCACCAAAAUCCAACGUGGUGAACCAAUGAGUUUUACUGGGAUUCCUCAUAGGAGUAUGGAUGAACAGAAAUGACACAAAGACAACUGCAUCACUAAAGCCCACCCCAGCAUGGGUGGCAGUUCACGAAAGCUAGAAACCUGGAUCCCACUGCACAGCCUGCAGGCAGCUCAACAGGUCGAAAACUGUCCUUUCCAGGCAGGGAAGUUGCUUUGAGUGACUCCCAGGCAUCUCAGUUUGUCUGAGAGUGCCCCUCAGCAGUCCUUAUAGCUAAUAUGAACUUGGGGAGGGAAGGAUCUAGUGAAUCUGGUUUCACUGAAGUUGUUGAGUUGCUUCUUCUCUUGGGUUUAAGGAAUUUCCCUACAGGGUGGCAUGCUCUGCCCAUCCCUUAGCCUACCCUAUUGUUUUAACUCUGGUUGAACAUCCCAUGUCUUACUGAGCUUCCUUCUAAACUGGAAGGUUUUAGUCUUGGAGGAAACUGCUGCAGAACACCUUCAAGGAAAGGCUAAAGUUUCCAGUAACAGAAAGCCUUCAAAGGUCAUGCCUGUGACUUAAUUAUUAGCUUGUUUCAUCUGUUUGUUUAGUGGUAGCUGGAAUAGAACUGAAACCUUGUGCAUGCUAAGCAACUGCUUGACCAUUCAGCAAUAGUUACAGCAUCAGCCCAUCUGGAAUUUGGGGAGGAAAAAGAGGAGAACUGUUGAUAUGGUGCAAAAGGAUGCUGAUGAUGGAGUUCAAGGCAGGGCAGGGGAGGAAGAAGAGGAGAACAAUUGAUGCGGUUUGAAAGGAAAACAACGGUGAUGUUUUAAUGCCACAUCACAAAUGAAGCGGUCCCAAGAACUGGGAAUCAAAUUUUAAACGUAGAGCCUAGAAGACACUGGGAAAACAUUCACCAUGGCUUCUGUGAGAGAUGGUUUACAGAAACAUUCAUUUUAAUCUAGAUUCGUGUAACACAGGGAGUACUGUAUCUUAGAAAUAAGGACAAGUCAAUAAUUUCCUUUUAACGUAAACUUUCAACCCAUUAAUUUCUCUAUAAUAAAGUCAGCUAAUCUCCCCUG